UACCAAGAUCAUAAGGCGCAUAAACCAACCUCGUGUUAAGCCAACACCUCCGUCUCCUGCAGAGGAGCUCCACAAUGGGGAAAUCCACAGGUCAGCAAGAAAGCAAAAGAGACUGCGCCCUACAGAACCUUGCAGCGCAGAUGAAGGCACUCCCUAAAGUUGUGGGCUGGCCGUCACCCUCUGCGACAUCCAUUCCCGUCUCCACAGCGGAUUCUUCCCGUGAGACGGGGUCGGUGUCAGCUGAACAAGCAGCAGCAGCAGCAGCAGGCUGGUCAUGCAGAAACUGCAUGUCCUGCAGCUCCCCAAACCCCUCGUCCUCCUCCCCCUCAUCAUCAUCCACAACCUCCACGUCAGCCUCAUCCAGGCCGUCGGGAGCGUCUGGAUCCCGGCCCAAAUCCUCCAGCACGGCACCCGUCUGGGAAAACAGGUACUCCACCCCAAUCAGCUCACCUGAAAGAAACACAAGGCGACAUGAGUUUACAUGUUUUCACUCAUGUACUCAUCACUCGGGGUGUGAUGCUGUGAUUUCCAGUCCACUACCUGUGUACUCUCCAGGCUGGGUGUAUGUCUCCACCAGCGUCAUACCCAUAAACUCUUGGGUCAGCUGCUUGAGGUAAUCCUGCAGCAGGGCAUUGUAGCAGCGCGGGACCAGCCUCUGGGCUCCUUCCACUGAAGCUCUGCCGCGGUCUUCAUUCCAUCGUACCAGGCCCUCCAGCAAGUACACCUGAAAGUGCAGGGCACUGGCUGACGUGCCUGGAGACAGGGAGAGACAAAAAAAUUCCACUAUUUGGAAAACAAUCUCAACUUCAACAUCUCACAACAACACAACACUAGUAACAAGAAAAAAACUAAACAGCCGUUUGUUUCCCCUUUUGUUUCUCACCAGGUAUGAAGCCGUUCAGGUGAAGGUGGAAGGACUCCAGUGAAGUGGAUCCUCGGGCGCAGCGGUAGACGGGGAGCCGGAUCCCUCCCUUGGUCAGCUCCCCCGUCUUAGUGUAGAGCGCCACUCCCGGGGGAUCCUGGAUGCAGCUCAGGUGACGACGCUGCACGCUCCAAAUCGCCUCCAUCCUUUCAUGAUCGAUGAGGACGACGCCCAGAUCGUUUCGCAGGUCCCAGAACUGAUCCAGGAGCUCCUGGAUCAGCCUCUCCGUCUCUGCCGCGCGUGUAGCGGCGGCAGUGACGCGCCAGCUCCUUGGCAGAGAGACGGAUGUAGGAAUCUCUGCCCUCCUCUGCGCGCUUGGCCUUCUCCAGCAGAGCCAGGUCGUCCUGGUCCCACAGGUAGAUGGCGUAGGACAGCCGCGCCAUGAACUGAGGGUACAGCUGGUGGCUCUCAGUGGUGACACCUCUGGCAAAGCGUCGCAUGAGGUGCCACACGUCCAGCCUCACCACCAGCUGGUCCCACUCGGAGAACAUGGCGGAUGUGCCCGUCCGUCCAGUGAGGGAGCAGCAGUCACGGCCCACGUACAGCACCGCUGGAGGGGCCACCUGGGCUUCUCGGUACCGCCGCAUCAGCCCUGCGGCCAUGGGCAAAAGCCCAUCCCCCUCUGCAGCCGUGAGGACGGACAUGAGCACCUGGUAGAGGUGGAGAGCAGAGAACAACAAGGUCAGUGAUGCAUU
rnacentral:lncRNA from 1 species